rnacentral:lncRNA from 1 species
CUUGUUUCUUAGCGUGAUUAUCAUUAAAUUCAACAAUUGGUAUCAAAGCCUAAUACUUAAUCAGAAUCCUUCAUAAAAACAAUAUUCUUUCUCGAUUUCUAACAGAAUAAUCAAAAGUUAGCUUUUCAUAUUGUUCUUGUUUUUAGAAAUUUGAGAAUAUUCAGUUUCUUUCCACCCUGUAAUUAUCUAUAAUCUUCUAUUUAGUUUUCUUACGCUCUGUCCCUUCAUAAGAUAAAGAAUUCUUCAACUUCGAACACCCUCAAAUUAUGAUUUAAGGCUUCAAAAUUCUUGUAUCUAUUAUGAAUUUGGGAAUUGAAUUUAUGACUGGUUUCUCUUCUAUCCAAACUGCAUUCAAUUUUCCCAAGAUAUCAAUUUACUGUGCUCGACCCCGCUGCCGCAUAGAUAAUGGUGGAAGUGACGCACCGACGAUGAAAGGUGGGGAGUUCAUUCUCCAACUCCUCAACUUCAUCCACCACCACCAAAAUCCCACUGUGAAAUCAAAUCAAGGUGACUGUUUAUUGUAUCUGUCCCUACGUAAAAUUUUUUGUGCAAAAUUGAGGCAUUGUGAAAUCAAAUCUAGGUGACUGUUGGAUGGAUUCUUCACUUGCGAUGGGCACUACUUUCUCGUGGUGGGAAAACCUGGUGCUGGCAGUCGAUAAGCUUCUGUAAAAAAAGUUAAAUUAGGUUUUACCAUCGAGCUUUAGGUGAUGAAGACGGGGGGCUCCAAUUGUAAAUAGUUAAAUUUCAAGCCCAUGGUUGUAAUUAUCAUUCAAGGGUCAGUUUACAAUUUUUAAAGGAAGGGGCCUUCCAAGAAUUUAGGAAAAUUGGGAGGCUCUGUUUGUAAUUUAAACUAGGGGUCAUAUUGCAAAUUUCAAAAUGAUAUUGAAUUUGAAUUUGAAAACAAGUUUUAAAUUAGAUUUUUAAAAUAUUUGACCCAAUUAAAAAUUUAUUUAAAA